GGUUGCCGGUUAAAGACGGUGGUUGGCUUCGAGUUUUAUUUGCCAGGUUGCACUAGUUAUCGCUGCUUGCAGCAAGUUAUCCGGCUGUUCUUCAGCUAGUUAUCGGUGUUGAUCCUACGUCGUGAAGAUCGGGACAACGUGUCGCAUCAUCUGGUAUCAAAGAUUUCGUUACCACGGUAGGAAUUUUAUCCCUAGCUACAUAUAUAUUUUUGCUUCGUCCUAUCCACCAAAAAGCCAGAAAAAUAUAUUGCUUAGACCUUUCUUUCAAUCUGUUAUUUUAGUGAGUUCGGUUAAGUCGCAGUCCAUUAGAGUAUUAGAGUCUUUGUUUUAGUUGCUGAUCAUUUAUCCUUCGCAUGUUCUUUGUGUCUCUUUUAUAUCUAAAAAAUCCCCACAAAAAAAUCUCUAUAGCCUAUAUCAUCCUUUGUGUUAACUUUGAUCCUAUCUAGCUACUGGUUGUUAUUUUAUUUCUGUCUUUAGUUGUGCAAGUGUCAUAAUCUGAUACCUGUGUUUAGUUCUAUAUAAAAAAAGUGUGUCAAAAAAAUAGAAAAGAAAGUGCAAAAAAAGUGAAGUGAAAAAAAGUUGAGAAAGGUUCAGAGAGAAAGUCUGAAAGAUUAGAUGGUUUAUGUGCACAAGUGCUGAAAGUUUCAUAUCAAGUUCUGCAACCAGUUUGCUAUUUUUGUUUGGUGUAAUAUUUUGGUUGGGUCUGAUUGCAACACUUGCAUCCCAAUCAUACUCCUUGUUUGCAUCAAAUCUGAAUUUUCUUUGUGCGUGUGUGUGAUCAUUUACUUAUUUUCAUAUCUUGUGGUCAGCACUCGGCAGAGAACUUCUAGUUUGGAUCGUUACUUAACUUUACAACAACUAGAAUUCAGAUUGCAUUCCUUGUGUAUUACUCCCCACCAAGCUCCACAUAAAAACCAUCGUAAUCGGUACUCUCUGUUCUUGUAUUCGCCUUGCCAUCACUUUCAGUUGCCACCACACAUUUGUUUUCCUUGUAAUCUGCAGCAGAGGAAUUCAUAAGAGCUUCGGUGGUUAGAGAGC
rnacentral:lncRNA from 1 species